AUGUUGACCUUGCUUUGGUUGAUGAAUGAUGGAGCUGUUUGUUGCCAUCAAUUAUUUCUAGACCCUAUGAGGGACUUUGUGUUGGAUGAUGAACAGAAACUCCUGCAUAAAUCAAUGUUGGAAAUUGAACCAUGCUUUCCAAAUUUGAAAUAUAAUCUUGAGGAAAGAUUUGCACCAAACAUGGCAAGAAGGCUGAAGAACUUUUGGACCUGAGGCACCUUGUGGAGUUGGAACAUGACCUUCUCAAAGAGAAAAAAGAAGACAGAACUCAGAAGAAAUGAGAAAUAUUUAGGGGAUUGUUCUUUAUGAAGCAGUUUUUUAAAGCAGUGGUCACAGGAUGUGUUCUUGUGUAGGAAAGGACUAAUUCAGUAGAUGUGGAUUGCUCAAACUCUGCACAAUUUCAAAAAAGGCCUGUUUUUAGGACUGGCCCAUGGCUGGCUCCUGAGAGCUGAACUCUGAGCUCUAGAAUGUUCUUUUUGUACUAUUUUGACCUAGUAGUUUAUGCAAAUAAUGUGAUUUAUGGAAACACUUUUUUUUUUGCUCUGGCAAUGUGGUCUAAAUAGCUAAGGUCAGUUAUGCAGAUACUGCACACCUACUUGGCUGACCCCUGAUAAAAACCCUAGACAUCAAGGCUUUGAUGACCUUAUCUGAUUGGCAACACUUUGCAUAUGUUGUCACACAUUGUUG
rnacentral:lncRNA from 1 species